AUGAAUAAAUAGUGUUCUGUUAAAGUUUUUGUAUCAUUACGCACAGAGAAUAAAUUGCAUUUUGCAUAUUAUACUUUACCAGAUUCAACUAUAAAAUGGCUAUUUACUGUUUGAGAUGCAGAAGAAAUACACCAACUAGAGGUGCAAGGAUUAUCGUAGUCAGAGACAGAAAUGGAACUCCACAUCAGACGACAGUGGGUUUUUGUGGAGUAUGUGGAUCUGAAAAACGACAAUUUAUUAACUGAAUUUGGUAUUGCAUAUCGCUUAUUAGCAAAAUACCUGACAUCCUGGAUAGAUAAUUAACAUGAAACUUUGAAAUUCAUUUUAUUUUAUAAAAGAAAGAUGGUACCUAAUCUUGAAUAACACAAAAUUGUACAUAAUCUCCAGUUUACAAUGCUUUCAAUUUCUAUCUUAUUGAUUAUUUCAUGUAAUAGUGAUGAUUAUUUUUUUGCGUUGGAAGAAUUUUCAUAAUGAAUCUAAAUUGUGAGCAUUCUGUUAACAAAAUGCAUAUAUUUUGAAUACAGUAAUCAAAUUUGAUUUUAUGGUUUAAAUCGUUUUCAUUGCGAGACUGAUUACGAAAAUAUGCAAGUUUCACACAAUGUGUUUUAUGAUAUAAAAAUAGCUUUUAAAAAUUAUGUGUGUCUUAUUCAGAUUGACAAAAAGUAAGAAUUAACAAAUGUGUUUGUAUUUUCUGUUUCUAUGUUAUAACAUAUUGAAUAAUA